rnacentral:rRNA from 1 species
AGCGAACGCUGGCGGCAGGCUUAACACAUGCAAGUCGAACGAUCCUUCGGGAUAGUGGCGGACGGGUGAGUAACACGUGGGAACGUGCCUUUAGGUUCGGAACAACACAGGGAAACUUGUGCUAAUACCGGAUAAGCCCUUCGGGGAAAGAUUUAUCGCCUUUAGAGCGGCCCGCGUCUGAUUAGCUUGUUGGUGAGGUA